rfam:Triticum aestivum genome assembly, contig: Triticum_aestivum_CS42_TGACv1_scaffold_223735_3B
AACAUGCUCCCUUCGUCCCAAAAUUCUUGUCUUAAAUUUGUCUAAAUACGAAUGCAUCAAGUCACGUUUUAGUAUUAGAUACAUCGAUAUCUAGACAAAUCUAAGAUAGGAAUUUUGGAACGGAGGGAGUACAAU